rnacentral:rRNA from 1 species
GACGAACGCUGGCGGCGUGCUUAACACAUGCAAGUCGAACGGAAAGGCCCUGCUUUUGUGGGGUGCUCGAGUGGCGAACGGGUGAGUAACACGUGAGUAACCUGCCCUUGACUUUGGGAUAACUUCAGGAAACUGGGGCUAAUACCGGAUAGGAGCUCCUGCUGCAUGGUGGGGGUUGGAAAGUUUCGGCGGUUGGGGAUGGACUCGCGGCUUAUCAGCUUGUUGGUGGGGUAGUGGCUUACCAAGGCUUUGACGGGUAGCCGGCCUGAGAGGGUGACCGGCCCCAUGGGGCUUGGGUAGCGGCCAAGGUCGCCAGGGGGGCAAGGGGGGGGGAAUUUUCCCAAAGGGGCGGAAGCCUGAUGGAGCACCGCCCGGGCGGGGAUGACGGCCUUCGGGUUUGAAACGUCUUUCGCCUGUGCCGAAGCGUAGUGGACGUUAAUGGGUAAAGAAGCCCCGCCAAACUAGGU